CCCUUGUCAUUAGUUGCUACAUUUAGUUGGGCACUCUAAUGAGACUGCCGGUGACAAACCGGAGGAAGGUGGGGAUGACGUCAAGUCCUCAUGGCCCUUAUAGGUGGGGCUACACACGUCAUACAAUGGCUGGUACAAAGGGUUGCCAACCCGCGAGGGGGAGCCAAUCCCAUAAAACCAGUCGUAGUCCGGAUCGCAGUCUGCAACUCGACUGCGUGAAGUCGGAAUCGCUAGUAAUCGUGGAUCAGAAUGUCACGGUGAAUACGUUCCCGGGUCUUGUACACACCGCCCGU
rnacentral:rRNA from 1 species